UGCAAGUCGAGGGGUAUAGCACUUCGGUGCUAGAGACCGGCGCACGGGUGCGUAACGCGUAUGCAAUCUACCUUUCACAGAGGGAUAGCCCAGAGAAAUUUGGAUUAAUACCUCAUAGCAUAACGACCUGGCAUCAGGAUGUUAUUAAAGUCACAACGGUGAAAGAUGAGCAUGCGUCCCAUUAGCUAGUUGGUAAGGUAACGGCUUACCAAGGCUACGAUGGGUAGGGGUCCUGAGAGGGAGAUCCCCCACACUGGUACUGAGACACGGACCAGACUCCUACGGGAGGCAGCAGUGAGGAAUAUUGGACAAUGGGCGCAAGCCUGAUCCAGCCAUGCCGCGUGCAGGAUGACGGUCCUAUGGAUUGUAAACUGCUUUUAUACGAGAAGAAACAACAUUACGUGUAAUGUCUUGACGGUAUCGUAAGAAUAAGGAUCGGCUAACUCCGUGCCAGCAGCCGCGGUAAUACGGAGGAUCCAAGCGUUAUCCGGAAUCAUUGGGUUUAAAGGGUCCGUAGGCGGUUUGGUAAGUCAGUGGUGAAAGCCCAUCGCUCAACGGUGGAACGGCCAUUGAUACUGCCAGACUUGAAUUAUUAGGAAGUAACUAGAAUAUGUAGUGUAGCGGUGAAAUGCUUAGAGAUUACAUGGAAUACCAAUUGCGAAGGCAGGUUACUACUAAUGGAUUGACGCUGAUGGACGAAAGCGUGGGUAGCGAACAGGAUUAGAUACCCUGGUAGUCCACGCCGUAAACGAUGGAUACUAGCUGUUGGGCGCAAGUUCAGUGGCUAACCGAAAGUGAU
rnacentral:rRNA from 1 species